rnacentral:rRNA from 1 species
UACGUAGGGGGCAAGCGUUGCUCGGAAUUACUGGGCGUAAAGGGAGUGCAGGCGGCCGGUUAAGUCAAAGAUGAAAUCCCGAGGCUCAACUUCGGAAUGGUCUUUGAUACUGGUCGGCUUGAGGCUGGUUGAGGAGAGCGGAAUUCCCGGUGGAGCGGUGAAAUGCGUAGAUAUCGGGAGGAACACCAGAGGCGAAGGCGGCUCUCUAAACUAGUCCUGACGCUGAGACUCGAAAGCUAGGGGAG